AUUAAAAUAGUUUAAAAAAAAUAUUGAUUUGUGGAGUCAAAGAUUUAUUGUUAUUUUAAUU
rnacentral:tRNA from 1 species